rnacentral:rRNA from 1 species
UGGGUCUAAUACCGGAUAUGACCUUCUGUCGCAUGGCAGUGGGUGGAAAGUUUUUCGGCUGGGGAUGGGCCCGCGGCCUAUCAGCUUGUUGGUGGGGUGAUGGCCUACCAAGGCGACGACGGGUAGCCGGCCUGAGAGGGCGACCGGCCACACUGGGACUGAGACACGGCCCAGACUCCUACGGGAGGCAGCAGUGGGGAAUAUUGCGCAAUGGGCGAAAGCCUGACGCAGCGACGCCGCGUGGGGGAUGACGGCCUUCGGGUUGUAAACCUCUUUCGACCGGGACGAAGCGCAAGUGACGGUACCGGUAGAAGAAGCACCGGCCAACUACGUGCCAGCAGCCGCGGUAAUACGUAGGGUGCGAGCGUUGUCCGGAAUUAUUGGGCGUAAAGAGCUCGUAGGCGGUGUGUCGCGUCGGUCGUGAAAACUUGGGGCUCAACCCUGAGCUUGCGGUCGAUACGGGCAUCACUUGAGUUCGGCAGGGGAGACUGGAAUUCCUGGUGUAGCGGUGAAAUGCGCAGAUAUCAGGAGGAACACCGGUGGC